rnacentral:rRNA from 1 species
AUUGAACGCUGGCGGCAUGCCUUACACAUGCAAGUCGAACGGCAGCACGGAGCAACCUGGUGGCGAGUGGCGAACGGGUGAGUAAUGCAUCGGAACGUACCUUUCAGUGGGGGAUAACGUAGCGAAAGUUACGCUAAUACCGCAUAUUCUGUGAGCAAGAAAGCAGGGGAUCGCAAGACCUUGCGCUGAUUGAGCGGCCGAUGUCCGAUUAGCUAGUCGGUGAGGUAAAGGCUCACCAAGGCGACGAUCUGUAGCGGGUCUGAGAGGAUGAUCCGCCACACUGGAACUGAGACACGGUCCAGACUCCUACGGGAGGCAGCAGUGGGGAAUUUUGGACAAUGGGGGCAACCCUGAUCCAGCCAUGCCGCGUGAGUGAAGAAGGCCUUCGGGUUGUAAAGCCCUUUCGGCCGGGAAGAAAUCGCACGGGCUAAUACCCUGUGUGGAUGACGGUACCGGAAUAAGAAGCACCGGCUAACUACGUGCCAGCAGCCGCCGUAACAC